rnacentral:rRNA from 1 species
CGCCCAAUCCCGUCUGAUCUUGGAAG